rnacentral:rRNA from 1 species
AGCGAACGCUGGCGGCAGGCUUAACACAUGCAAGUCGAGCGGGCAUAGCAAUAUGUCAGCGGCAGACGGGUGAGUAACGCGUGGGAACGUACCUUUUGGUUCGGAACAACACAGGGAAACUUGUGCUAAUACCGGAUAAGCCCUUGCGGGGAAAGAUUUAUCGCCGAAAGAUCGGCCCGCGUCUGAUUAGCUAGUUGGUGGGGUAAAGGCCCACCAAGGCGACGAUCAGUAGCUGGUCUGAGAGGAUGAUCAGCAACAUUGGGACUGAGACACGGCCCAAACUCCUACGGGAGGCAGCAGUGGGGAAUAUUGGACAAUGGGGCAACCCUGAUCCAGCCAUGCCGCGUGAGUGAUGAAGGCCUUAGGGCUGUAAAACUCUUUUACCCGGGACGAUCAUGACGGUACCGGAGGAAUAAGCCCCGGCUAACUUCGUGCCAGCCGCCGCGGUAA